rnacentral:rRNA from 1 species
UGGGGAAUAUUGCACAAUGGGCGCAAGCCUGAUGCAGCAACGCCGCGUGAGGGAUGACGGCCUUCGGGUUGUAAACCUCUUUUAGCAGGGAAGAAGCGAAAGUGACGGUACCUGCAGAAAAAGCACCGGCUAACUACGUGCCAGCAGCCGCGGUAAUACGUAGGGUGCAAGCGUUGUCCGGAAUUAUUGGGCGUAAAGAGCUCGUAGGCGGUCUGUCGCGUCUGCUGUGAAAUCCCGAGGCUCAACCUCGGGCCUGCAGUGGGUACGGGCAGACUAGAGUGCGGUAGGGGAGAAUGGAACUCCUGGUGUAGCGGUGGAAUGCGCAGAUAUCAGGAAGAACACCGAUGGCGAAGGCAGUUCUCUGGGCCGUAACUGACGCUGAGGAGCGAAAGCGUGGGGAGCGAACAGGAUUAGAUACCCUGGUAGUCCACGCCGUAAACGUUGGGCGCUAGAUGUGGGGACCAUUCCACGGUUUCCGUGUCGCAGCUAACGCAUU